CUCCCUCUGGCCAUGAACCCAGCACAAAACCUGUGUGCUGCUCUGGGAGAGGAGCUUCUCCUUGUGUGGCCUUUCCCAGCUGAGGACUGACACUGUAGAGCCUGAAUCAUGGGAUUUGGACUCAAUGGCAUUUUCAUACUGAUGAUUUUGCAAGGUGUCCAUUGUGAUAUUCAGCUGGUGGAGUCUGGGGGAGAUGUGAGACAGCCUGGAGGAUCCUUGAAACUCUCCUGCAAAGCUUCUGGAUUCACCUUCAGCAGCUACUACAUGCAUUGGAUCCGCCAGGCUCCAGGGAAGGGGCUGGAGUGGGUCUCAUACAUUAAUGGUGCUGGAAGUAGCACAAGCUACGCAGACUCUGUGAAAGGCCGAUUCACCAUCUCCAGGGACAAUGGCAACAGCCUGCUGUACCUGCAGAUGAAUUCCCUGAAAGCCGAGGACACAGCCAUGUAUUACUGUGCAAGAGACACAGUGAGGGAGAGGAGUGAGAGAGCAGACAAAAACCUCCUCUCAGCGAGUUCUGUUGGAGAAUGACAGAGAGGGAACUCCAGAACUCUGAGCACAAGGAGCCCAGUUACAACAACAGGUGAAGAGGGAGGCUGACAAGUGUCUUUUCAAGGCAGCUGCCUAAGAAGGUGGGAUUCGCCCUCUCAGCCUCUUCUCAUUUCAGUCAGAGUUUCAGGGACUCUAUCAGAAUGUCUUUUGACCUCAUAGGAAGAUGCUUGCUGUGGUCUAAACAAGCAGGAUUUAUGGAAGGUCCUCCCAAUGCUUCUCUGGGGAUGGGAGUGGAAUAAAUUCCUUUAACUUCCGUUUCUGAGCUGGCGUCAUUUAAUUAGGGUUAAGUCUAGAUGCUCCGUUUAACAUCUAACAUAGGUAUAAAUAUGUGUGUAUGUACAUGUGUGUAUAUUUCUGUGUGUGCUCAUAGUGAUCUUUCCAUGUAGGUAUUUAUCCAUAUUCGUGCAUAUAUGGGAGGGACCUAACUGGAGGGAACAUGAGGCUUCUGCUCAGCCAGACUUUUCAUAUUAUCAAAAUCUUAUUCCUUUUGUCCCUGUGGAGGGAGUUUCCAUGCUGCCUUGCACAGCUGGGAGGCCUUUGUGGUGGUCUUCACUGGGGCUGGGCCAUACAGGAGGCAAGUCUCUGCACUAGAGACUUGGGCCUGCUUUGGGCCUCCCUGUGCACCUGUGCUAGGGGCAGGGCCUCACUGGUGCUUGUGCCAGGUUGAAGCCUUGUUCCUGUGGGGGUAGAGCCCGGCUGGAGGCCUGGCUGAGCCCUUGCUAUAGACCCUUACUAGCAGUGGGACCUCUCAGCUCACUUUGCUGCCUAGAGUUAGCCAAGACCUUCCCUGUCACGUGGGCUGGGGCUUCCCCUUCUCUGGCUGGGAUGCAGCCUGCCUUUGCUUAGACUGCUCCAACUGUGCUUCCCUCCAAGUCUUGUGGGUCUGACCUUUCCUGCUGGUUCUCUGCGCUGCUCUGGGCUGCAGGACUCUUAACUGCUUUUAAAUUUAGAGCUGCAGGGAACCAAAGAGAACCUUUCUGGCAAUCCAAGAACAUUAGCUCAAGCUGGGAGCUGAAGAUGAAGCAGAAUCAACUGUGCUUUUUCAGAACCAACAGACAUACAGAUUUGUGGGCCAAGACAAGGCAAAGGGGAUUCUUUACUUUUGCAGUCUGGUACGAAGAUUUUGUUGAAAAGUUUCCUUUCUGCUGGUAUAGUCGGAUAUUAUUUCCAUGCUUUAAAAACUCCCUACUGAAGAUAUGCUCUAACAGGCUUUGUCAUUCCCCUGCAGCAGAGAUCCUUGGGCUUCUUUAUGGAUUUGACCAGAAUAGGGGAAAAAGUAGACUGAUGCACUAAAACUCAUGUAAGAUUUAGAUUACCAAUGUUGAUUUACCUAAUGAUGCUCUUAAUGUGCUCACUAUUGUAUGAACUGAUUUUUAACAAAGGGGCUAAGCAAUCUUCCUAUAAAUAAAAGCAGAAUUCAUAAAAAUGCUCAAUUUCAUGAAUGAAUAAUCUACAGAUACUUUGAGAGGAUUCAUGUGAUAACUUGUUUUUGUAUCUCAAGCCCUUAAUAAAUAAUAAAUAGUAUUUAAUUAAUAA